rnacentral:lncRNA from 1 species
UUUAACUCCCUUAGGCCCAUUUCUCAUUUACUUCAUUGUCAAUUUAAGGAACAAUAAGGGAAUUGAGUGCUUCAUUAUCACAUUGCCAUAGUAAACUAUGGACUUUCACAUUGUUACGCAUCACACACCGAAGCCAUAGCCUUGCCAUGGUCUUACACGGUUCACAUAUCAUACCGAAGCCAUAUCCCAGACAUGGUCUUAUACAGAAUCACAUUAUCACAUUAUACCGAUGCCAUAGCCCAGCUAUGGUCUU